rnacentral:rRNA from 1 species
ACACUUUCUAGCAUGAAGUCAGACAAGUGAACCCGCCGAAUUUAAGCAUAUAAGUAAGCGGAGGAGAAGGAACUAAACAGGAUUCCCUCAGUAAUGGCGAACGAACAGGGAUCAGCUUGGGUUGGAAACCGGGGCUUCUGCCUUGGAUUGUGGCCUUUAGACAUACUACCAACGGCGGCGCGAGCGUAAGCCUCUUGGAACAGAGCGUCUACCUGGGUGAGAAUCCUGUGUUUCGCUUGAUGCCCGCCGUGCACGGUACUUGCUCUCAGAGUCACGCUCCUCGGAAUUGGAGCGUAAAUUGGGUGGUAAAUUUCAUCUAAAGCUAAAUACAGGCUCGAGACCGAUAGCAAACAAGUACCAUGAGGGAAAGAUGAAAAGGACUUUGAAAAGAGAGUUAAAAGUGCUCGAAAUCGCUGAACUGGAAGCGAAUGGAACUAGUGUUCUGGUUGAGAUUGCUGCAGGUGGCUACAAAAUCUGGGCUCUGGAAUGCAAGUCCUUUGUUUAAUUUGGAGUUGCUACAUGCAGUGUGUCUCAGCUGGAACAUCAACUCCCAUGCAUGUGUGAGGAUGGCCCUUGCCUCAUGCUCUCUUCCUGCGGUGAAACUCUUCUGCCUGUUGGGAUGCAGGCGUGUGUGGACUUAUUGAUCAAUUAGUUCCAUUCGACCCGUCGUUGAAACACGGACCAAGGAG